rnacentral:rRNA from 1 species
GAUGAACGCUAGCUACAGGCUUAACACAUGCAAGUCGAGGGACCGGCAUACGUGUGAGUAACGCGUAUCCCACCUUCCCAUUACUGUGGGAUACCCUGCCGAAAGGCAGACUCAUCCCGCAGAGUAAUGGAUGGGGAUGCGUCUGAUUAUCUUGUUGGCGUGUUAACGGCCCACCAAGGCGACGAUCAGUAGGGGUUCUGAGAGGAAGGUACAACACAUUGGAACUGAGACACGGGCAAAACUCCUACGGGAGGCAGAAGGGAGGAAUAUUGGUCAAUGGACGGAAGUCUGAAACAGCCAAGUAGCGGGCAGGAUGAAGGCCUAUGGGUUGUAAACUGAGUUUAUAUGGGGAUAGGUACUAUAUGAAUAAGGACCGGCGAAUUCCGUGCCAGCAGCCGCGGUAAUUC